GUGGCAGACGGGUGAGUAAUGUAUAGGAAUCUGCCUAGUAGUACGGAAUAAUUGUUGGAAACGGCAACUAAUACCGUAUACGCCCUACGGGGGAAAAAUUUAUUGCUAUUAGAUGAGCCUAUAUUAGAUUAGUUAGUUGGUGAGGUAAAGGCUUACCAAGACAAUGAUCUAUAGCUGAUCUGAGAGGAUGAUCAGCCACACUGGAACUGAGAUACGGUCCAGACUCCUACGGGAGGCAGCAGUGGGGAAUAUUGGACAAUGGGCGAAAGCCUGAUCCAGCCAUGCCGCAUGAGUGAAGAAGGCCUUCGGGUUGUAAAGCUCUUUUAGUGAGGAAGAUAAUGACGGUACUCACAGAAGAAGUCCUGGCUAACUCCGUGCCAGCAGCCGCGGUAAUACGGAGAGGGCUAGCGUUAUUCGGAAUCAUUGGGCGUAAAGGGCGCGUAGGCGGGUUAGUAAGUUAAAAGUGAAAUCCCAAGGCUCAACCUUGGAACUGCUUUUAAAACUGCUAGUCUAGAGAUUGAAAGAGGAUAGAGGAAUUCCUAGUGUAGAGGUGAAAUUCGUAAAUAUUAGGAGGAACACCAGUGGCGAAGGCGUCUAUCUGGUUCAAAUCUGACGCUGAGGCGCGAAGGCGUGGGGAGCAAACAGGAUUAGAUACCCUGGUAGUCCCGCUGUAAACGAUGAGUGUUAAUAUGGAAGUUUACUUU
rnacentral:rRNA from 1 species